GGGGAAUAUUGCACAAUGGGCGAAAGCCUGAUGCAGCAACGCCGCGUGAGUGAAGAAGGUUUUCGGAUUGUAAAGCUCUGUCUUCAGGGACGAUAAUGACGGUACCUGAGGAGGAAGCCACGGCUAACUACGUGCCAGCAGCCGCGGUAAUACGUAGGUGGCAAGCGUUGUCCGGAUUUACUGGGCGUAAAGGGAGCGUAGGUGGAUAUUUAAGUGGGAUGUGAAAUACUCGGGCUUAACCUGGGUGCUGCAUUCCAAACUGGAUAUCCAGAGUGCAGGAGAGGAAAGUAGAAUUCCUAGUGUAGCGGUGAAAUGCGUAGAGAUUAGGAAGAACACCAGUGGCGAAGGCGGUUCUCUGGACUGUAACUGACGCUGAGGCACGAAAGCGUGGGUAGCAAAC
rnacentral:rRNA from 1 species